CUGAAAAAGGCAGCGUCUUGUGGGGUUAACAAGCUGUCCGUCGGCGAGUAGGUGAGGCCAGCGACCAUUGGCAUUACCCGGAGCAACCACAACUUCAAGCUUUCUGACUAUACAAUGUCCAUACGCUUCUGGGUAUUCUCAAACUUUGGAUAUCAAAUUUUUUUUUUCCGUUCUAAUCUCUAUGGAGGAUUGAGGGUGUGAUUUGAUCAUGUGUUUAGAUCGAUCAAUUUUUUUUUCAUUCUAAUCUCUAUGGAGGAUUAAGGGUAUGAUUUGAUCAUGUGUUUAGAUCGGUUAUCUAGAAUAGCGUUGCCAAUAUCUGAUAAACUACAAGAGUGGUCAGUUCCUUUACUUUUUAGGAUAAACUUCUUAAGUUUCUGUAAGAAAAAUCACUAACCUAAUCCAAUUGUACAUGUCGUUCUUUGUGAGCACUUGGAAAUGUUGAAAAGGCUUCAAAAGAGAGUUUUGUUGCAGAAACUCCAAAUCUAAUGACCACUUUUUGUGCAAACUGAUGAAUGUAGAGCUAUGGUUACAGCAGGUAGGCUCCCAUAUUUGAUGGUGAUUACUGGCCAGGCACAUCAAAAGAAGAUGGUAGGAAGGACAUUAACUCGGUGAGACCAUUCGAAUGAGGACUUUCCCAUGGUCCACUUGCAGCCUUCUUACACACAUUGCUUAUGGUGAUGGUAUCUGGAAUCGUUGGGUCAGUAGUCAGUGAAAACAUUUUCAGAUUUGUGAUAAGUGUUAUGAGGCUGAACAGAUGCAUGAAGACAUGGAAAGUCACAUCUGUCUGAUCUUCAAGACCAAUUCCACUGCAGAUUCUUUGCAUGCCGACAAAUUUGUUGCUCUCGGUAAAUCUCGGGUUCAUCUGAUUUCUUUUUUUCCUACUAAAUAUGGGCUUUCAUUUGGUUUCAUUAGUUAGGGCUCCUCUUCUUUGGCAUGUUUGUAUUUUCAACGGAUCAAAGACAUCCCACUAAAAAGAGAUGUAUCUUUUUAUUUCUUUAAAGUUUGAUAGCAUUUCAGCUCUAUAAAAAAAGACAGGGAAAGAUAUCAUGUCCCACUAAAAAUAGAUGUAUCUUUUUAUUUCUUUAAAGUUUAACAGCAUUUCAG